UCCCUGUAGCUCAAAUGGUAAAGAAUCUGCCUGCAAUGCAGGAGACCCAGGUUUGAUCCUUGGAUUGGGAA
rnacentral:tRNA from 1 species